GCUCCACAACCACCAUCAACCCCGCCCCCCCCCACUGAGACAACCCUCUCCAACCCACCCAAGACAACAACCUCAGCCGCAAGGACCUCCACCACCAGCACCCCAACCACCAAUACCCCAAUCACCAGCCCCGCCCCGUCCACUAAGACUAGCAUCAUCCCCCCAACCACAAAGACUAGCAUCAUCCCCCCAACCACUAAGACUAGCAUCAUCCCCCCAACCACUAAGACUAGCAUCAUCCCCCCAACCACUAAGACUAGCAUCAUCCCCCCAACCACUAAGACUACCAACAUCCCCCCAACCACUAAGACCACCUCACACACAAAGACCUCCACCACCAACAGCACCCAACCCUCUCUCACCCCAACCACUCAACCCACCACCACUUUCCCCACCUCAUCUAUCACCUCCACCACCCCACUCAGCAACUCUACACAACACCCUGUCGGCCCCAUCCACUCAGCCACAAACACCACCACCACCUCACCCACCAACACCACCACCAGCCCACCCAGCAACACUUCACAACACUCUGUUGGCCCCAUCCACUCACCCACAAACACCAUCACCACCCCAACCACAAAGACCAUCGCUGCUAUUUCACCCACCACCACCACCACCACCACCACCACCACCUCAGCCACCAACAGCACCACCAACUCACCCACAAACCCCACAGCAUCACCCAGCAACACCAUCACCAUCUCACCUAGCAACACCACCACCACCCCAGCCACCAGCAACACCACCAUCCCACAGACAAAGACCAUCACUACUACCUCUAACAACACCACCAGCACCACCCUUACCAGCAACACUACACAACCCUCUGUCGGCCGAAUCGACUCACCCACCAACCCCACAACAACACCCAACAACACCACCAACAACUCACCCAUCAACACCACCACCACCUCACCAACCAACACCACCACCACCUCACCCACCAACCCCACAACAACACCCAACAACACCACCACCACCGCACCUAUCAACACCAAAACAACACCCAACAACGCCACCAACAACUCACCCAUCAACACCAUCACCACCACCUCACCCACCAACGUCACCACCACCUCACCCACCAACACCACCACCACCGCACCUAUCAACACCAAAACAACACCCAACAACGCCACCAACAACUCACCCAUCAACACCAUCACCACCACCUCACCCACCAACGUCACCACCACCUCACCCACCAACACCACCACCACCACCUCAGCCACCAACACCACCACCACCUCACCCACCAACACCGACACCACCUCACCCACCAAAACCACCACCACCACCACCACCUCACCAACCGACACCACCACCACCUCACUACCCAAAACCACCACCACCACCUCACCAACCACCACCACCACCACCUCACCAACCAACACCACCACCACCUCACCCACCAACACCACCACCACCUCCCCAACCAACACAACCACCACCUCACCCACCAACACCACCACCACCUCACCCACCAACACCCCCACCUCAAACUUAAACGAUACAGGUGUGUGUAAAAACAUAUGUAUGGUAGAUGCAAAAUAUUCUGUUUUUAUUCGUGUUAUUUUUGUUUUGUAA
ensembl:lncRNA